GUGGGGUUCCACCUAGGAACUAUCUGUGAAGGAGAUGAUUAUACAAUCUGUGUAAACUGGUAUUUAGAAUGGAAGAAGAAACCGAUCCCCUGCACCAGAGGCUGCAGCUUCUUUGAAUGCAAACUAGAGGGAACAAGACUAGUCAUCAAGUACUAAGAGAGAAAUGUCCUCUAUUGUUCUUCAUUUCUUUGACAUUAUAAUGGGGUCUAAUAUGACAUACUGAUGAGUACGCGCAGGAAAGCUCAAGUCGUGAUCGAGUCACCAGUGAAACCGGGAGGCUCAGUACUGGUUUUGCUGAAGAUUGUGACUACACUUUUCGACACAUUCCCAAAAGCUACUGAGAGGUUCCUAAAGAGUCCCCAAGUCCUAUUGCAGAUCACAAUAA